GCUGCUUUGGCGCAGUGGCUAGCGCAGCAGCUUUACAACUCGUUGUUCAAACGCUGUUGGUCACAGGUUCGAUCCCUGUAAGCAGCA